rnacentral:rRNA from 1 species
AUGGGGAAGGAGAGCGUCCACGGCGAGGAGGAGGCGACGGGGAUCCACGUCCAUUGCAAAUACAAGUUGUCCAAGAAAGGUAAUAACCUGGAAGAUGAUUGGCCUCCAGACCCUUUUGACGGAGGCGCACACGACACUAGAUUGAAAGCGAAUGACCUCCUGAACAUUCCUGAGGCAGAUUGUACUCCGAUGUUUAUUAAGGAGCAGGGUUAUUUCAAGCGCUUCGAGACGGACGGCACUCUUGAUUGGUCGUUCCCCAGUGAUUACAUCAAUUGUGCUCUUCUGAAUGACUACCAGCGCCUAGUCCCUCGAAAUUAUGGUGGUACUGAGUACAUCAAUUGGAGUGAGUACCAUGAGUACUUGCAUAGCUAUGAGACUGAACAGGAAUACGUCGAGUACUGUGAGGAAUUAGCCAAGCAACUGAAGUGGAUGGAAGAUUAUCUACAUUUUGACCGGCCAUCUUUCAAGGAAUGUAUAGAGAGCAUGGGCUAUGACCUUGCUUGGCUUAAGGAGUUAGAUGGUGUCUAUUUUGAGAUUUGGCGGCGGGUCACUCAGGGAAUGAGUUUCAAAGAUGCUCUGGCAGAGGUUUGUCAUCUGAACAGGUUUCCGUCACGUCAACAUAAAAUGGAACAUGCCCUGGAGUUUGAUGAAGCGAUGGAGGAGAUGGAAGAAGAGGUUAAGGAGGAUAAAGCUCGGGAGUUGAUUGCAGGGGCGGUUAAAGAGCUGCUUGAUGAUACGCCGAAGACCUAUGAGCAGUAUAUCAUAAAGAAGAUGCACAUUGCCCGAGUUGUUGGAAUCCUUCCUGAGAAGAGGAUUGAAGAUUCUCAAGAAUGA